GGAAGGUGCAAGCUUUUGGGAUUUCUGUUUGGAUUUAGUUUAGGUUCAAAAGAGCACGCACAGAUCCUGAGUGUUGUCAAGCACCCGUGACUGGGAAACGGAGGCGUCCGAUCCGUAUUGGAGUCAAUUCGCCACUUAAUUGUUUCAGGGGUUACUCCAUCAUUAUCAUGGCAGGGAACAUGGCAGGAUGCAGGCAGAUGGUAGCUGAGAGUUCUACAUCUGGAUCCACAGUCUAAAGGUGACAUGUGGCACUAGAGAGCAUGCCUCUUUUUUUGUGCUGCUCUGCAACCUUUCGGCAUCUGAGAAGAUUGUUCUAGUGUUGCGGUUUACAUGUGGUCACUGCAGGACUCCGGCCAGCCAUUCCCAGGGCAGUGUGUGUCCUUAGAACUGAGCUCAGAAGCUGAAAUACUCAGUAGGACAGAAGCCUUUUGGACUCUCUCUCUCUUCUCUGUCACUGAAAAAUUUCUACAGAACAACACAUUCAAUAGGACCAAAUGAGUCCACAUCAAUGAAGAGGGAAGCAGUUGAUUGAGAAUAAUGGUUCUGUUUUGGAGGUUGAUGGAAGAUGCCCUUUGGCCAGGAAAACAGCUCAUGCUUUUAGAGGAGGAUAAUUGCCAGAAGGCCUCUCUGAAUAAAAAAAAAUCCUGACCUCACAGCCUUUGCGCUUACUUGGGUUAGAAUGCCACAGUGAACAUUGCCCCUUGUCAUCACGUAGAGGUGCUCACAGGUAAAGCAACACAAGGAGCAUAUAGGAUCACCUGCUGGAUCUUGUUUUUAACACCAGGGAGGAAAAUGGUGUCUUGGGUAAUGAACAUGCCUCAAGACUGAGCUGGCCAUCUUCAGUGUCAUCCAAACCCUCAGUGGCCCCUGAAAAACCCUUUGAAAAGAUUCAGCACGUUGCCAUGGAGAACAUCCCACUGAAGGAAUGUAUAGAAGUAGCAGGGUUAACUGAGUGCCUUCCAUCUUCCCUCCAAGGGAUCUGCAAUGAGAUGGGAGAAGGCAACAGGCUGUGUGGGAACCACUGAAGCUGGGAUGGCAGGGAAAGAACAUCUUAGGCUAACUCUUCAAGCCUUGCUGUCACAUUUGCUUUUGAGUCUAUGGUUCCUUAUUAUUUUGGAAGGGUCUGAGAACCCACAGGGCACCCUGGGUCAUGACUCAUGUGACUGAGGAAGCACACAGAUCUGUGGAUCUCCAAGUCUAGAUGACAGCAAGCUAACAGGACACUGUUUAUGACAUAUAUAGCCCCCCCCCAACCCCUGCAGAUUUCAAAUAGGUUCUGACAAAGCUUUGUGGUAUCUGAAGGGUAGAUAGAGAAAAUAAGUGUAUCAUUUUGGUUUCUGUUUCUGCAUUACAGGUGUCAGCUGCCUACCAGUUGCUUUCAUCUCUAGAAAUCUGUGACUUGCAGUAUGACAAGAACAAAAGGUGACAAUACAAAGGACAAAGGGCAAGGAAUACAGACGGAGAAGCCGCUUAGAGUCUAGGAUGGCAGAGGUUCUCUUGAUCAUUUCAUUUUUGAGCGCUUGUAGAGCUUUGGUGUACCAGAGGUGCUUGAACAGCUUACCACACCACAGAUGAAUGGCCUUUGGAUUUCUCCUAAGAAAAUGUGGCUACCUGAAAUUCAACUCCAUUUUCUGGUCUUCAAUAUUUCUUUUGUGUUCAGUUUGCCAGCUGAGGAGAAGUGGCUAAGCAUAGCCUGUUACUGAUGCUAAAGCCCAAGUUCUGAACCUAACAACUCCAGCAACAUGAUCCUGUUUCAAGAGACAAAAAAGUGACUAAUGAAAGAAAACAAUUGAUGUGCUAUGUAGAGUUUAAAAGAAGGUAAAGAGAAUAAAUUAAAAGCAACAACUCUC
rnacentral:lncRNA from 1 species